CGGCAAUGGGCGCAAUCCUGACCGAGCGACGCCGCGUGGAGGACGAAGGCCUUCGGGUUGUAAACUCCUGUCGAGGGGGAGGAAGGGGGCAACCUUGACCGAUCCCUGGAGGAAGCACGGGCUAAGUUCGUGCCAGCAGCCGCGGUAAGACGAACCGUGCGAACGUUAUUCGGAAUCACUGGGCUUAAAGCGCGUGUAGGCGGGCCGCCCCGUCGGCUGCUGAAAUCCCCCGGCUCAACCGGGGAAGUGGCACCGAUACGAGCGGCCUCGAGGGGGUAGGGGGGUCUGGAACUUCCGGUGGAGCGGUGAAAUGCGUUGAGAUCGGAAGGAACGCCCGUGGCGAAAGCGAGGCCCUGGACCCUUACUGACGGCUGAGACGCGAGAGCCAGGGGAGCGAACGGGAUUAGAUACCCGUGUAGU
rnacentral:rRNA from 1 species